rnacentral:rRNA from 1 species
UGCAGUCGAACGGUAACAGGAUUAGCUUGCUAAUCGCUGACGAGUGGCGGACGGGUGAGUAAUGCUUGGGAACUUGCCUUUGCGAGGGGGAUAACAGUUGGAAACGACUGCUAAUACCGCAUAAUGUCUACGGACCAAACGGGGCUUCGGCUCCGGCGCAAAGAGAGGCCCAAGUGAGAUUAGCUAGUUGGUAAGGUAAAGGCUUACCAAGGCGACGAUCUCUAGCUGUUCUGAGAGGAAGAUCAGCCACACUGGGACUGAGACACGGCCCAGACUCCUACGGGAGGCAGCAGUGGGGAAUAUUGCACAAUGGGGGAAACCCUGAUGCAGCCAUGCCGCGUGUGUGAAGAAGGCCUUCGGGUUGUAAAGCACUUUCAGUUGUGAGGAAAGGUUGGUAGUUAAUACCUGCCAGCUGUGACGUUAACAACAGAAGAAGCACCGGCUAACUCCGUGCCAGCAGCCGCGGUAAUACGGAGGGUGCGAGCGUUAAUCGGAAUUACUGGGCGUAAAGCGCACGCAGGCGGUUUGUUAAGCUAGAUGUGAAAGCCCCGGGCUCAACCUGGGAUGGUCAUUUAGAACUGGCAGACUAGAGUCUUGGAGAGGGGAGUGGAAUUCCAGGUGUAGCGGUGAAAUGCGUAGAUAUCUGGAGGGACAUCAGUGGCGAAGGCGGCUCCCUGGCCAAAGACUGACGCUCAUGUGCGAAAGUGUGGGUAGCGAACAGGAUUAGAUACCCUGGUAGUCCACACCGUAAACGCUGUCUACUAGCUGUUUGUGAAUUUAAUUCGUGAGUA